AUAGGUUUUCCGGUUUUAAACAUGCACAACUACAUCCAAUCGUAUGAUGUAUAAACAAAAUGAAAAUUAAAUAAGCCAAUCAGAGCGUUCUCAAUAUUAUGGUUUAUGGAUCAAUCGAUUGAUGAAUAACAAAAAUGAAAAAUAAAUAAGCCAAUCAGAGCGUUCUCCAUAUUAUGGUUUUUGGAUCGCAAGAACCACAACUAUUAUUUUUAUACGACCGCAAAAAUUGAAAAUUUUUGGUCGUAUAUUGGUAUGAUGUUAGCGUCGUCGUCCGUCUGCGUCGUCGUCGUCCGAAUACUUUUAGUUUUCGCACUCUAACUUUACUAAAAGUGAAUAGAAAUCUAUUGAAUUUUAACAUAAGGUUUAUGACCAC
rnacentral:lncRNA from 1 species